rnacentral:lncRNA from 1 species
CCGGUUCUCGGAGCCCAAGGGCCAAAGCUGGGGGUGGAGGCGGCGGGGAUCCCAGGCUGUGGGGCCCUGAGGACCAGCCACCCCAGGGAGUGCACCGUUGCCUGGGUCCCCUUGUGGCGGAGGGGGCGGGGACGAGGAUCAAGCAGCAGGGCGCAGCGCUCUUUUCCCACCGACUCGUUCUGUUCCCCCCCGCGCUCAACCUGCACCCACGCGCCCAGCAGCGCAGCGACCCGCCUCAGCCUCCCUACACGCGGCCACAGCGAGCGUCUGCCCACGGGACUGCGGGGGGAGGCCGGUCACUGUCGGAAAAGGGAGAGGGGCGCUGGCAGAUGCGUAACCCUCCACCUGCAGUUUCUUGCCAGUGCUGACUACUGACACCCUGCACCUGGCCUCCCCAGAUACUCAGCAGACAGACCUCGGAGGGAAAGAGCUGCUUGCCUCGGGGCACCGUGGACACUGGACAUUUGACCUGCCAGCAGCAGCCUUGGCCGGGCCUUUGCCCCCAUUACUUCCUCCACAGCCCUCUUCGGAGCUUCUUAGAAACAGGACCCCUUGGCCUUUGUUUUAGGCCCAGCGAAAAGCGGAAAGCUGCCCUGCGCACAGUGAAGCAGAGAUGCUUCCUUGUGCGAGAACCAGGGGCCUGGGAGUAGGCAUGCUUUUUGAUAAACAUCUCUAAAGAUCACAGGGCCCGCCAGUUUCUUUCCGAGAGAGACUGUCAGUUUUCUCCAAAGGAAUACAACACAGCUUGUUUCUGCUGGCGCAGUUCCCAUAGGACCACCUUCAUUGAAUCUUGCAAGGAUGGGCUCUAUACUCUUCCAUCUCGAUGUGGCUUCAGGUUUGCCCUCAGGUAGGCGUAGCGGGAAGUUUACAGACCCGCCAGAUGGAGUUGAAACCAGCUUGAACAAGCAGUUUGAUCUUGGGCAAGUUGUAAAAUGGGACUCACAUACUGUAACUCGGGGAAGAUGACUUGAGGCCUCCCUACAAAGGGCUCCCUAAACAGGAGUUGGACGGGAAACUCCACACCGCCUCUUUAGAUGAAGAUCUUUAAAGAAAGCAAAACCAGCAGUCACAUCUUUCUGCAAGGACCUGACUCUGAUUGCUGGCUCUGACUUUGGCUUGUGGGCUGAGGGGCACUUGCCACCCUGGUGAGGAGCCAGGCCCUCCCCCUGCGACCUCUUCACGUAAUUCCAGUUCACCUGUUGUCACUCCUGAUGGAAGCUGCUCUUCGCUGGUGAAAAAGGCCUUUCUGGAAUUGUAGAUUGGGUA